CAGCACCUCAAGUGGUCAGGAUGAUUAUUGGGCCUAAAGCAUCCGUAGCCUGUUCUGUAAGUUUUCGGUUAAAUCUGUACGCUCAACGUACAGGCUGCCGGGAAUACUGCAGCGCUAGGGAGUGGGAGAGGUAGACGGUACUCGGUAGGAAGGGGUAAAAUCCUUUGAUCUAUUGAUGACCACCUGUGGCGAAGGCGGUCUACCAGAACACGUCCGACGGUGAGGGAUGAAAGCUGGGGGAGCAAACCGGAUUAGAUACCCGAGUAGUCC
rnacentral:rRNA from 1 species